AUGCAGGGCAUCGUCAUCAGGCGCGCGCUCUGCCCGGCCAAGCUCCACCGCCACGUCCCGUCCAGCCUAUCCAGAGGCCUUUGCUUCCGCGGCGGCAGCGACACACGGUGCGGCGCCGCUGCGGGCAAGAGGCCGCGGGCCGUCGCGGUGAGAGCUCGCGGCGGCCCGGUGGCAGGAGAUGGCGACCGAGCGCCGCCGCUGCAGGAUGCCGUCGGAGCGUCACCGCCACCACGAGGUGGCGGGGCGAAGAGAGGGAGCGUGGCUGGUGCCGCUGCGCUCAUAGUGGGGACAAGCAUCGGGUCAGGCAUCCUUGCCGUGCCGCAGAGCACCGCGCCCGCGGGUUUCGUUCCAAGCGCCGUGUGCAUGGUGGUCUGCUGGGCCUUCCUGGUGGCCGAAGCGCUCCUCAUCGCCGAGAUCAACGUCCACCUGCGUCGGAAGAGCAAGAAAGACGGCGGCGAUGGCGCAGGCCUGGAGGUGAUAUCCAUGAAGAGCAUGGCGCAGGCGACGCUUGGCGAGUGGGGAGGGAACCUGGCCGCCACCGCCUACCUGUUCCUGUCCUACACUUCCAUGGUCGCCUACACGUCCAAGUCCGGCGAGGUGCUCUCCCGCGCGAUCGGCGUGCCCGAGCCCGUCUCUGGCGCCGCCUUCACCGCCGCCCUCGCGCUCCUCAUCGCCGCCGGUGGCACGGGCGUCACGGCCAAAGUGAACCAAGUGCUCACCUUCUUCAUGAUAGGGCUACUGCUGACGAUUGAAGUCUCUGCGGUGGCGUUCGGCGGCGGCCUGAGCCUGCCAGCGAACGCCCACUGGGAGCAGGUUCCAGCGACGCUGCCGGUGAUCAUCUUCACGCUGGUCUACCACGACAUCGCGCCAGUGAUCUGCGCGUACCUGGAGGGGGACCUCGCGAGGAUCCGGCUCUCCAUCCUCGUCGGGAGCCUGGUGCCGCUCGUCUCCCUGCUCGUGUGGGACGACGUCGCGCUCACCCUCUCCGCCUCCUCCACGGACCCCAACGGCCUCGGCAUCCUCGACAUGCUGGAGACAGAGUGGAGCUACGCGGUGGUCGAGACCUUCUCGCUCCUGGCUGUCGGGACGUCUCUCAUCGGGACCCUGCUUGCAGCGUCGCAGUUCUUCAUCGAGCAGAUGACCACCAGUCUAUCCUCAGCCGAGGGAGAUGCACAGAUUGACGAGGACGCUUCUGAGGAAGAAGGAUCUAGCCAGCUUGGCUGGCCAACAUUGCUGGAAAGCAACAGGCUCAGCUUCGUUGCCACAGGGGUGGUGGUUGUCCCAACCAUGCUCAUAGCAGCUGCUGUUCCAGAUUCAUUCUCCAUAGCCACUGACAUCGCCGGGGGCUACUGCAUGACCAUCUUGUACGGUGUUCUCCCCCCAUUGAUGGCCUGGUCUAUUGGCUCCAAAUUAUCCGAUCAAAAAGUUGGGCUUGGACAAGUAGAAGCAGCAUCCACGGCUGGCAAAGAAAGAGUGAACUUCACCGGUGCAACUGCAAAGCCUGUGCUGGUGGGGAUGGGGGUGUUCUCUGUGCUCAUGGUCUUCCAGCAAAUCUUGCAAGACCUUGUCAGUUUUAACACUUAUCUCCUGUCAUGGACUAGCUAG
rnacentral:rRNA from 1 species